UACGUAGGGCGCAAGCGUUAAUCGGAAUUACUGGGCGUAAAGCGAGCGCAGGCGGUCGUGUAAGACAGAUGUGAAAUCCCCGGGCUCAACCUGGGAACUGCAUUUGUGACUGCACGGCUAGAGUGCGUCAGAGGGGGGUGGAACUCCACGUGUAGCAGUGAAAUGCGUAGAGAUGUGGAAGAACACCGAUGGCGAAGGCAGCCCCCUGGGAUGACACUGACGCUCAUGCUCGAAAGCGUGGGGAGCAAACAGG
rnacentral:rRNA from 1 species